GUAGUCUCGCACAGAUGCAUAUCAAUAAGCGGAGGAAAAGAAACUAACAAGGAUUCCCUUAGUAACGGCGAGUGAAGCGGGAAGAGCUCAAAUUUGAAAUCUUCAAGGUUUUACCUUGACGAAUCGUAGUUUAAAGAAGUGUUUUCUGUUGAAGUUUUGGUAAAAGUUCUUUGGAAUAGGACAUCAUAGAGGGUGAGAAUCCCGUAUUUGACCAUUAUUUUCAGCUGUGUGAUACACUUUCAAAGAGUCGGAUUGUUUGGGAAUGCAGUCCAAAAUGGGUGGUAAAUUUCAUCUAAAGCUAAAUAUUGGCGAGAGACCGAUAGCGAACAAGUACCGUGAGGGAAAGAUGAAAAGAACUUUGAAAAGAGAGUUAAACAGUACGUGAAAUUGUCAAAAGGGAAGCGUUUGACACCAGUGUUGUUUUCUCGAAAAUCAAUUAAAAAGAGUUAGAUUUUGUUGUGUAUUGACCUUAACAGCUUGCAUUUCAAUUUUCUUGCUUUUUUUAAUGCACUUUUCGUUUAACAAGUCAACAUCAGUUUCUUUUGUUGUAAAAAGGUCAUUGGAAGGUGGCUUUCUUUUCGGAGAAAGUGUUUAUAGCCUUUGACUCCUGCAAUCGGAGAGACUGAGGUCUGCAGCGUAGAUCCUUCGGGGUUAGAUACAUUUGUGCUAAGUUAUAGCUUUUUAUAGACAACUUGUUGACUAUGAUUAGUCUUGUAGCUUACUCGCUUAUGCUAUUUUACCUACGCUUAGGAUGUUGAGCGCAUGUCUCUCUCU
rnacentral:rRNA from 1 species